ensembl:snRNA U6 U6 spliceosomal RNA
GUGCUCGCUCCGGCAGCACAUAUACUAGGAUCGGAACAACACAGAGAAGAUGAGCACAGCCCCUGAGCAGGGAUGACACGCAAAUUGGUGAAGCGUUCCAUAGUAAA